rnacentral:rRNA from 1 species
CUCAGUAACACGUGGAUAACCUACCCUUGGGACUGGGAUAACCCCGGGAAACUGGGGAUAAUACCGGAUAGAUCAUGGAUGCUGGAAUGCGCCUUGAUCUAAAGCUCCGGCGCCCAAGGAUGGGUCUGCGGCCUAUCAGGUUGUAGUGGGUGUAACGUACCUACUAGCCGACGACGGGUACGGGUUGUGAGAGCAAGAGCCCGGAGAUGGAUUCUGAGACACGAAUCCAGGCCCUAUGGGGUGCAGCAGGCGCGAAACCUUUACAAUGUGCGAAAGCAUGAUAAGGGAACUCCGAGUGCCAGCAUCUAAUGCUGGCUGUCCUUGUGCCUAAAACGCACAAGAUAGCAAGGGCCGGGUAAGACCGGUGCCAGCCGCCGCGGUAACACCGGCGGCCCGAGUGGUAGCCGCUAUUAUUGGGUCUAAAGGGUCCGUAGCCGGUUCGAUAAGUCCUCUGGGAAAUCUGGUUGCUUAACAAUCAGACUGCCAAGGGAUACUGUCGAACUUGAGACCGGGAGAGGUAAGAGGUACUUCAGGGGUAGGAGUGAAAUCUUGUAAUCCCUGGGGGACCAUCUGUGGCGAAGGCGUCUUACCAGAACGGGUCUGACGGUGAGGGACGAAAGCUGGGGGCGCAAACCGGAUUAGAUACCCGGGUAGUCCCAGCCGUAAACGAUGCUCGCUAUGUGUCAGGUACGGUGUGACCGUAUCUGGUGCCGUAGGGAAGCCGUGAAGCGAGCCACCUGGGAAGUAUGGUCGCAAGACUGAAACUAAAG